UUAAACAAUGCUGGUCCCGACAGUGACCCCUGAGGAACACUACUUGUCACUGUUCUCCGCAGGAAUUUUCUUCCUGUGUCUGAUGGACACUAGCCACAAGUAAGCUGGGAAAAAAAAAGUCCUAGUUUGUAUGGCCUGCAGAUGAUUUAAUGGAUAUCAAAGACGAUGCAUCAAACUGAGAUUAACGUUGUUGAAAAAUAUAAAUUUGCUAAGAAGGAUGAAAUUUUGGACAGGCACAAGACCAUUUAGUUCCUAAGGUUGGAAUUUUUCUUAACUUCACAUAAAAAUUUGCACUACACUUAAUAUGUAGCUACAAAAUAGGAAUGGUUGAGGUUUGUAUUAAGGAAGAUUUUGGGCUAGGUGGCCAUAAUAUACUGCCUCAUAAAAACUGCAAAUACAGGAAAUAUCAGAUAAGCAUGCAACUCUUGCUCAUUUAGAUGAGAUGCUCUGACCUCACAUUAUCUUGAUCAAAACUAUUAUUACAGUAAUCUCUGAAAUACUUUGUACAUUGUACAAACCUCAUAAAGAAGUAUGUCACUUAUUAUUUCUGGACUCUUAUCUGUUUUGCAGAGUUUGUGGAUACAGGUAGAUAAGCUAGCACAACAUUCUUUAUGUGGAAUCUUACAGGAACAGAAAAGAAUACUGUACUUAAAACUCUAACUCAACGUAAAAGCAAAAUAAGAGGAACAAUUAGUGCCUUUACAGAGAGAAACAGGAGAAUCCACUGGUCCAUAUCCUGAACCAUUUGACUGGGGCUGUUCAAGAACAAAAUUGGACCAUCUGGGAUCAUCUGAAUCUCAUUUAAUGAGUUUUCUGUAGACUGGCUACUUCUGUGCUCAUUUCCCUGCAGCAGUUCAACUUUAUUGUUAUCAACAAAGCAUUGCCAUUUUACCCGCUGACUGAUACUCUUGCCUCAUUCUUGAAAAAGAUCUGAUAAGCCAAAAUCUACAAUUUCCAAAUAAAUAAAUUUUGGUGACCAAA